rnacentral:rRNA from 1 species
CCUUUUUUUUCCCGCUUUUUUCGGAAUUACUGGGCGUAAAGGGCGCGUAGGCGGCUUUUCAAGUCGGGCGUGAAAUCUCCGGGCUUAACCCGGAAGGGUCGUUCGAUACUGUUGAGCUAGAGUGUGGAAGAGGCAACUAGAAUUCCGUGUGUAGCGGUGAAAUGCGUAGAUAUACGGAGGAAUACCUGAGGCGAAGGCGGGUUGCUGGGCCAACACUGACGCUGAGGCGCGAAAGCUAGGGGAGCAAACGGGA